rnacentral:rRNA from 1 species
AGAGUUUGAUCCUGGCUCAGAACGAACGCUGGCGGCGCGCCUAAUACAUGCAAGUCGAGCGAGAAGGUGUAGCAAUACACUUGUAAAGCGGCGAACGGGUGAGGAAUACAUGGGUAAUCUACCAUCGAGUGGGGAAUAACCAGCCGAAAGGUUGGCUAAUACCGCGUACGCCUCCGGAUCUUCGGGUUCGGAGGGAAAGCUGCACUGUGAGUGUAGCGCUCUUUGAUGAGCUCAUGUCCUAUCAGCUUGUUGGUAGGGUAACGGCCUACCAAGGCUUUGACGGGUAGCUGGUCUGAGAGGACGAUCAGCCACACUGGCACUGCGACACGGGCCAGACUCCUACGGGAGGCAGCAGUAAGGAAUAUUGCGCAAUGGGCGAAAGCCUGACGCAGCGACGCCGCGUGGGGGAUGAAGGUCUUCGGAUUGUAAACCCCUUUCGGGAGGGAAGAUGGAGCGAGCAAUCGUUCGGACGGUACCUCCAGAAGCAGCCACGGCCAACUUCGUGCCAGCAGCCGCGGUAAUACGAAGGUGGCAAGCGUUGUUCGGAUUCACUGGGCGUACAGGGUGUGUAGGCGGUUUGGUAAGCCUUCUGUUAAAGCUUCGGGCCCAACCCGGAAAGCGCAGAGGGUACUGCCAGGCUAGAGGGUGGGAGAGGAGCGCGGAAUUCCCGGUGUAGCGGUGAAAUGCGUAGAGAUCGGGAGGAAGGCCGGUGGCGAAGGCGGCGCUCUGGAACACACCUGACGCUGAGACACGAAAGCGUGGGGAGCAAACAGGAUUAGAUACCCUGGUAGUCCACGCCCU